AUGGAGGAGGAUAUUCCCUUCUGUACCUACAGCCUAACUUCACUGGCGGAUCUGCCAAGGCCCAGUGCGACGCCUACACGGUUCAUUGAUGUCAUUGGUAGGAUAACCAUGGUCUCGGAUAUCAUCCUUAUCCAUCCAUGCAUCAUAGUGGCUUCGAAAACAAGGCCAGUUAUGCUCAAGGCCAGGAGAUCCAGAUUACCAUGUGAUGGUGCUGUUGAAUUUGACGUAGACAUGGUCCAUGCAGUGUGUGAAAAGGAGCCUCUUAUUCCUAUAUUUGUAGGAACCUUACCCAAGACUGUUCAUGGUUUUAAGAGGGCUCAGUGGUAG
rnacentral:rRNA from 1 species